AAGAAAGUGGCAGAGUGGCUAUGCGAUUGGCUUGAAACCGGUACAUGGGGGUUCAAUUCCCCCCUUUCUCG
rnacentral:tRNA from 1 species